GGGGGCGAACUGGAUUCGACGGGAGGGGUGAAACGAAGGUUGCAUGUACGGGACGCCGUUGGCCCGUUCAAAAAACGGCACAAUCAUAAUCGCCAACGAUUAUGAAGUAGCAGUAGCGGCUUAAUAAAAUAAGCUAGCUACCGUUCUUCCCUUCAGCGUCCGCGGGGAGGGAAAGAACGUCAUUUAGCGGACUGGUCCGGUUUACGGGUCUCGGGUAAACCGGGCGAGAUCCUACGAGGCUGGCUGUCGGAAAGCCCUGUCCCUGGGGAAUUCCGGUGGCGAGAUUAAAAACAGGGACUACACAUGUAGACGCCUUCAGUUAAAACCUUUCGGACGGGGGUUCGAUUCCCCCCGCCUCCACCA
rnacentral:tmRNA from 1 species